CGUAUGAACCAUCGGAGGUUGCCAAAUUUCUUAAGACAAAUUGAGACUUUUCCGGAAAAUGUGUGAAUUGUUUCCUAUUUAAUUUUUUUUAGGAAAUUUUACUCGCGAUCUAGUCCAACAUAUCUAAUAAAUUCUAUGAGAAAGAUUUUUCGUAAGGAGAAAGGCGACUCAAUAUCCAAACGGCAUCCUUCUUCAGGAAGGCAGCACUAUUUACUGUCAACUUUUUACAACUUCAAUUUCAAAUGUGCAUUUAACACUUUAAUUCUCAAUUUUAAUUCAGUGUGUUUAAGGAUAUUGGGGAGCAAUUAGCAUCAAACCUAGAAAAAGUCGCUCAUAGAUAUUGCGGAUAUCUCAAGGAGAUCUUUAAUGAGGAAAGAAUAUGCCGAUCAAGUACAGAAUGCCCUUUUCUUCUCUCGUAUAAAAUUAUACGGAAAGAUCUUAUUAGUUGAAUAGACAGUAAGAACACUGGGCAGCUUAGAUUUGACGUCAGUUGAACUUAUAACUCAUUCACUCGUUCUGCGACAUAUAUGGAUACGUUACAUAAUAUUUUAAAUUUGAUCUGCUUAUGACAAAAAGGACCUAUGUUUCACGCAAACCUUAUGCACGUAGUUCAUUUUAGCAUAAGUGCGUCCAAUUUUUCUCGUCUGUCCAACAAAUUCCAGGCUCGGGACUUUCCAUCUCAAUCCCACGCACUUACUGAGGAGUUUUCUCUUUUCCAUUCUUUCGCACCUUCUAGUUUUUUCAUAACUCCGUCAGCAGAGUUGCAAAGGUUACCGCGCCGCGCGCCGCUCAUCGCGCUGAGUCAAAGCUGUUCGUUCCUCCAACUCUUUCUGACGAUUCUACAUAAAAUCUGGACUGCCGACAUUCAACUGCUGGAAUUGGGUCUUUGCAUUGCGUGAAUAAUGGCGAAAAACGUUAACUCUAUACUGUUGUUGGUCUGCGUCACAUUUUUGGUGAUCGUUUCAUCCCCGCAGAACGUGGCUCAAGGUGACGUCCUCAUCGGAAGUUGCGUCUGGGGCGGAGUGAACUACACCUCUGACUGCUUGAAAGAGUGCAAAAGACGAGGAUUCAAAGGCGGACAUUGUGGAAGUGCUUUGAAUGUAAAUUGUUGGUGCGAAACCCGUAAAUAAGAUUAUCUAAUAAAAUCAGGCUGAGCAAUUCAGAAAACUUCAUGAAUGCCAAUCUAUAAUACAAAUAGUCAAGGUUGGUAAUGUGUACUGAAAGUGUGAAACGUUGCAAUAUAAUAAAAUUUUUAUUAAGCCACUCUAGUUCUUGUUCCUUAACUUCAACAGUAUUUCAGGGUAUGUACACUAAAAAUAUCACUGCUAUCUCAGAGACGAUUGGAUGAAAAAAAGGCAUGAAUCCUC
rnacentral:lncRNA from 1 species